AACCUUCGGGGAACGAUAACGGCGUCGAGCGGCGGACGGGUGAGUAAUGCCUAGGAAAUUGCCCUGAUGUGGGGGAUAACCAUUGGAAACGAUGGCUAAUACCGCAUAAUACCUACGGGUCAAAGAGGGGGACCUUCGGGCCUCUCGCGUCAGGAUAUGCCUAGGUGGGAUUAGCUAGUUGGUGAGGUAAUGGCUCACCAAGGCGACGAUCCCUAGCUGGUCUGAGAGGAUGAUCAGCCACACUGGAACUGAGACACGGUCCAGACUCCUACGGGAGGCAGCAGUGGGGAAUAUUGCACAAUGGGCGCAAGCCUGAUGCAGCCAUGCCGCGUGUGUGAAGAAGGCCUUCGGGUUGUAAAGCACUUUCAGUCGUGAGGAAGGUAGUGUAGUUAAUAGCUGCAUUAUUUGACGUUAGCGACAGAAGAAGCACCGGCUAACUCCGUGCCAGCAGCCGCGGUAAUACGGAGGGUGCGAGCGUUAAUCGGAAUUACUGGGCGUAAAGCGCAUGCAGGUGGUUUGUUAAGUCAGAUGUGAAAGCCCGGGGCUCAACCUCGGAAUAGCAUUUGAAACUGGCAGACUAG
rnacentral:rRNA from 1 species